UCUGCCCCGAGAGGCAUUGCAGGUGUGGCUGCUGGGUCACACAUGUAUCAGUAGGUGACAGAGAAGAGAGAUGCUAUGUCUACACUCACUGUUCUGACUUAUGAACAUCUGAAUGAUUAGUAGCCUAACGUU